AUAACGGUCCUAAGGUAGCGAAAUUCCUUGUCGGGUAAGUUCCGACCUGCACGAAUGGCAUAAUGAUGGCGGCGCUGUCUCCAGCAGAGGCUCAGUGAAAUCGAAAUCGCUGUGAAGAUGCAGUGUACCCGCGGCUAGACGGAAAGACCCCGUGAACCUUUACUGCAGCUUGACAUUGAACUUUGACCUUACUUGUGUAGGAUAGGUGGGAGGCUUUGAAGUUGGAACGCCAGUUCCAAUGGAGCCGUCCUUGAAAUACCACCCUGGUAAUGUUGAGGUUCUAACUCUGUCCCGUUAUCCGGGACGAGGACCAUGUCUGGUGGGUAGUUUGACUGGGGCGGUCUCCUCCUAAAGAGUAACGGAGGAGUACGAAGGUGCGCUCAGCGUGGUCGGAAAUCACGCGUAGAGUAUAAAGGCAAAAGCGCGCUUAACUGCGAGACCCACAAGUCGAGCAGGUACGAAAGUAGGUCUUAGUGAUCCGGUGGUUCUGUAUGGAAGGGCCAUCGCUCAACGGAUAAAAGGUACUCUGGGGAUAACAGGCUGAUACCGCCCAAGAGUUCAUAUCGACGGCGGUGUUUGGCACCUCGAUGUCGGCUCAUCUCAUCCUGGGGCUGAAGCAGGUCCCAAGGGUAUGGCUGUUCGCCAUUUAAAGAGGUACGCGAGCUGGGUUUAGAACGUCGUGAGACAGUUCGGUCCCUAUCUACCGUGGGCGCUGGAAAUUUGAGAGGAUCUGCUCCUAGUACGAGAGGACCAGAGUGGACGAACCUCUGGUGUACCGGUUGUGACGCCAGUCGCAUCGCCGGGUAGCUAUGUUCGGAAGGGAUAACCGCUGAAAGCAUCUAAGCGGGAAGCCUACCUCAAGAUAAGAUUUCCCUAGGACUUUAUGUCCUCUAAAGAGCCGUUGAAGACUACGACGUUGAUAGGUUGGAUGUGGAAGCAUAGUGAUAUGUGAAGCUGACCAAUACUAAUUGCUC
rnacentral:rRNA from 1 species